rnacentral:lncRNA from 1 species
UGGGGUCAUUUGGGGUCACGGGGUCAUUUCGGGUCAUGGGGUCAUUUGGGGUCAUGGGGUCAUGUGGGGUCAUGGGGUCAUUUGGGGUCACGGGGUCAUUUGGGGUCGUGGGGUCAUGUGGGGUCAUGGGGUUAUAUGGGGUCAGGUGGGGUCAUGGGGUCAUUUGGGGUCAUGGGGGGUCACGGGGUCACGGGGUCAUUUGGGGUCGUGGGGUCACGUGGGGUCAUGGGGUCAUUUGGGGUCAUGGGGGAUCACGGGGUUAUAUGGGGUCAGGUGGGGUCAUGGGGUCAUGUGGGGUCGUGGGGUCAUUUGGGGUCCUGGGGGUCACUUGGGGUCAUGGGGUCAUUUGGGCUCACGGGGUCAUUUGGGGUCAUGAGGUCACAUGGGGUCAUGGGGUCAUUUGGGGUCAUUGGGGUCAUGGGUCACGCUCACAUCAGGGCUAUGGGUCCCACUUAUGGGGCACACAUCGGGGCUAUGGGUCCCACUUAUGGGUCCCACUUAUGGGGUUCCGGGUCCCACUUAUGGGGCACACCCUGCGCUACUUAUGGGGCACACCCCGCACUACUUAUGGGUCCCACUUAUGGGGUUCCGGGUCCCACUUAUGGGGCACACUUCGGGGCUACGGGUCCCUCUUAUGGGUCCCACUUGCGGGUCCCACUUAUGGGGCACACAUCGGGGCUAUGGGUCCCACUUAUGGGGCACACAUGGGGGCUAUGGGUCCCAGUUGUGGGUCCCAGUUGUGGGUCCCAGUUGUGGGUCCCACUUAUGGGGCACACAUCAGGGCUACGGGUCCCACUUAUGGGGCACACAUCGGGGCUAUGGGUCCCACUUAUGGGUCCCGCUUAUGGGGUUCCGGGUCCCUCUUAUGGGUCCCACUUGUGGGGCACAUCCCGCGCUACUUAUGGGUCCCACUUAUGGGGCACACAUGGGGGCUCUGGGUCCCAGUUGUGGGUCCCAGUUGUGGGUCCCAGUUGUGGGGCCCACCCUGCGCUACUUAUGGGGCACACUCCACUCUACUUAUGGGUCCCAGUUGUGGGUCCACUUGUGGGUCCCACUUGUGGGGCACACCCUGCGCUACUUAUGGGGCACACCCUGCGCUACUUAUGGGUCCCAGUUGUGGGUCCACUUGUGGGUCCCACUUGUGGGGCACACCCCGCGCUACUUAUGGGGCACACCCCGCGCUACUUAUGGGUCCCACUUGUGGGUCCACUUGUGGGUCCCACUUGUGGGUCCCACUUGUGGGGUUCCGGGUCCCACUUAUGGGUCCCACUUGGGGGUCCCACUUAUGGGGCACACAUGGGGGCUCGGGGUCCCACUUAUGGGUCCCACUUAUGGGGUUCCGGGUCCCACUUAUGGGGCAACUUAUGGGGCACACAUGGGGGCUCUGGGUCCCAGUUGUGGGUCCCAGUUGUGGGUCCCAGUUGUGGGUCCCAGUUGUGGGUCCCACUUAUGGGUCCCACUUAUCGGGCACACAUCGGGGCUAUGGGUCCCACUUAUGGGGCACACUUAUGGGGCACACUUAUGGGGUUCCGGGUCCCACUUAUGGGGCACACAUGGGGGCUAUGGGUCCCACUUAUGGGUCCCACUUAUGGGGCACACAUCGGGGCUACGGGUCCCACUUAUGGGUCCCAGUUAUGGGGUUCUGGGUCCCACUUAUGGGUCCCACUUAUGGGUCCCACUUAUGGGUCCCGCUUAUGGGGUUCCGGGUCCCACUUAUGGGUCCCUCAUGGGGGCUAUGGGUCCCACAUGGGGGCUAUUGGUCCCAAUUAUGGGUCCCACUUAUGGGGUCCCGGGUCCCACUUAUGGGGCACACCCCGCACUACUUAUGGGUCCCACUUAUGGGGUUCCGGGUCCCACUUAUGGGGCACACUUAUGGGGCACACUUCGGGGCUAUGGGUCCCACUUAUGGGUCCCACAUGGGGGCUAUGGGUCCCAGUUGUGGGUCCCAGUUGUGGGUCCCACUUAUGGGGCACACAUGGGGGCUCGGGGUCCCACUUAUGGGUCCCACUUAUGGGGUUCUGGGUCCCACUUAUGGGUCCCACAUGGGGGCUAUGGGUCCCACUUAUGGGUCCCACAUGGGGGCUAUGGGUCCCAGUUGUGGGUCCCACUUGUGGGGCACACCCCGCGCUACUUAUGGGGCACACCCCGCUCUACUUAUGGGGCACACUUUGGGGCUAUGGGUCGCAGUUGUGGGUCCCACAUGGGGGCUAUGGGUCCCAGUUGUGGGUCCCAGUUGUGGGUCCCANNNNNNNN